AGCUCUCUUCUGCAGAAGAUGGAAAACAAGGAGCUGAGCUCAGGUUUGACGACAGGCAGUUUACGGACAAAGCCAGAGCAGCCAGGUCCAUCCCCAUGUCUGACCAGUAAGCUGACCUCUAACUUGACCUCUCACUUGACCUCUGGCCUGUUGUCGUUGAAAUCAUUUGACCUUGGGGUGACCUCUGGGUCACAGAAACACAGUGCAUCCCACAUGGGCUCA